rnacentral:lncRNA from 1 species
GCCUUUUUAAAAUUUGGACUCACUUAAAGUGCGAAACAAAAUAUGCACUCAUAACGGUUCAUGGAUCGAUGAGAUCCUCGUAAUCUUCAAUAGGUAAGUCUACAAGUGCUCCUCACUAUCAUUCUCAUUUAAAGGGGGGUCAUGGAAAGGGGUGAGUUCCAUAUACUCAGUAAGAAAAAUAGUAUUUAAAUGGCAUUACUAAGAUUUUAAAGAUAA